ensembl:lncRNA
CAUGAGGGGACAUAUUACUGUUGUGUGCUGCCAAUAGUGGACAAAAAGGUAUUGCUGUAUGAGUUAAUCAGCUAACCUAAUUUACCUACUGAAUGGGUCGCCUUAAUCAUUAUCAAAAAAAUUGCCCCCCCUGAGAAUUUUUUCAGGAGCCGCCACUGAUGUAUAUGUAUGCACGUGUGUGCGGUGUGUACGUGUGUGCGGUGUGUGCGUGUGUGGGUGCACGUAGUCUUAGUCUUAGUCGUUAGACGAAAAUGCAUAUUAGUUUUAGUCACAUUCAAUAGUCCAUCUUAUAGACACAUUAAACUCCUUUCCUUCCCUUCUCAGGCCCAGGGACCCCCUGUGUUGUGUCUACAACUGCAUAAUAGUCUAGCUUGCAGUACUUAAAUUGUGGAUACAAUCAGUCUCUAAGAUAUAUACAGAUCUCCUAGUAUAUGCCUACAGCAGAAUUCCAAUUAAUUCAAUGUAAAUAAUCAUUUUAAGGCAAUACUUAAAGCAGCGAUAAGUCGUUUUUGGCUUGUAGCUCCCCCUAGUGGCGAAAUCUGUUGAAAUUUGCUUUUCUUGUUUAUGAAAAACUAGCGAGUCAACAACUUUGCUAACACAGUCAAGAAAAGAUGGCUAGCUCUGAAUCGAACUUGUAUCCAAAUGUGUCUUUCAGCUCUCGCCAACGAGUAAAAGCUGUUCCGAUAGUGACCGUCACUACCCGAUCCUAGUUGCGCAUGCUCAGACACAAAGGACCGGGCGGCUCCAGAAAUCUUACAUACCGCAGUAAUUUCCCUACAGACCCCCGAUGGCAACGGCGGAGAGGCCAUUCUCCAUAUUAAAAGUAAUUGUAGCGGCACAAUUUUUUUCAAUCUAUAAUUAUUAGCUAGCUAUCAAAGCAUAUAUACAUACACACACACACACACACAGCCAACGGCACCACUGUCACACACAUACACACACACACACAGCCAACGCCACCACUGUCACACACACACACACACACACACACACACACACACACACACACACACACACACAGCCAACGCCACCACUGUCACACACACACACACACACACACACACACACACACACACACACACUAUCCAAGCAUAUAUACAUAGACACCCCAUUGGCGUUUGGGUCGCCCCAUUGGCCAUCUUGGGGAGGUGAAGACUGGCCAAACAAACAAACAAACAAACAAACAAACAAACAAACAAACGCAUAUUAACGGUGGAGCUGCGGCUUUUCUGGAUAAAAAGCACAAUAGUGUUUACAUUUCUCAACCGAUUUCAAAACUAGCGAGUCAACAACUUCCCUGACACAGUCAAACAUCAAGCAAGAGUUAAGGAGGUACUGCACUAGGCGCAUGCAAGUUUCGAAAAAAUUAUUCAUUAAAUUUUUAAUUGUCCGUUAGUCCACCACUAACAUUCUCGUCUCGUCAACGAAAGUAAAAUAGAUUUAGUCACAGUUUUUAUUUCCAAAGACCCGUUUUCUUCACCUCAACGUCACGUCUUGUGAACGCAUAUUUUUCGUCAAAGUUGCGUUAACGAAAUUAACAUGCGUACGCGCGCGCGUGUGUGCGUGUGUGAGGUGUGUGUGCGUGUGUGAGGUGUGUGUGUGCGUGUGUGAGGUGUGUGUGCGUGUGUGAGGUGUGUGUGUGUGUGUGAGGUGUGUGUGCGUGUGUGAGGUGUGUGUGAGGUGUGUGUGUGUGUGUGAGGUGUGUGUGAGGUGUGUGUGUGUGUGUGUGAGGUUUGUGUGUGAGGUGUGUGUGUGUGUGUGUGUGCAUGAAAAGCAGCCUUUGUCUUUUCUUCCUCCAUCACUACUCUCUCUCUCCCUCUCUCUCUUCUUCUCCUUCUGUAUCUCUCUCUCUCCCUCUCUUUCUGUCUCUCUUCCUCUCUCUCUCUUUUCCUAUCCCUCUCUCUCUCUCUUUCUCUCUCUCUCUAUCCCCCUCUCUCUCUAUCUCUGUCCCUCUCUCUUUCUCUCUCUCUCUCUCUCUAUCCCUCUCUCUCAGGUGAGGUUGUAUCUGAUCUCUCUCUCUUUCUCUCUCUCUCUAUCACUGUCCCUCUCUCUCUCUUUCUCUCUCUCUAUCCCCCUCUCUCUCUAUCCCUCUUUCUCUCUCUCGAUCCCUCUCUCUCAGGUGAGGUCG